CCUACGGGAGGCAGCAGUCGAGAAUCAUUCACAAUGGGGGAAACCCUGAUGGUGCGACGCCGCGUGGGGGAAUGAAGGUCUUCGGAUUGUAAACCCCUGUCAUGUGGGAGCAAAUUAAAAAGAUAGUACCACACGAGGAAGAGACUGCUAACUCUGUGCCAGCAGCCGCGGUAAUACAGAGGUCUCAAGCGUUGUUCGGAAUCACUGGGCGUAAAGCGUGCGUAGGCUGUUUCGUAAGUCGGGUGUGAAAGGCGCGGGCUCAACCCGCGGACGGCACAUGAUACUGCGAGACUAGAGUAAUGGAGGGGGAGCCGGAAUUCUCGGUGUAGCAGUGAAAUGCGUAGAUAUCGAGAGGAACACUCGUGGCGAAGGCGGGUUCCUGGACAUUAACUGACGCUGAGGCACGAAGGCCAGGGGAGCGAAAGGGAUUAGAUACCCGAGUAGUC
rnacentral:rRNA from 1 species